AAAAACACUGUGCCUGGCUCAACUGAUGAAAGAAAGCCAAGGAAGGGAUUGGAGAAUGAAACAGAUAAGAAAAAUGGAGCGGAGUGCUGGAUCUGUAUUACACACACAGAAUCUUCCAGAGGACCAAACCCUAGGACCAAGCGUUAUGCCACCACUGUGGAAGCAGAAGACCCGGCAGGAAGGGGGGUAUCUGACAAGGGGGGCAGAGUAGCAUCUGGGCUCCAGCUCAGAGGCUUCCUGGAGACAGCAGAAUUCUAGAGAGCCCAC
rnacentral:lncRNA from 1 species